rnacentral:lncRNA from 1 species
UACAACAAGUACAUAAUCUGAAUGCAAGAUAAAUUGCAUUAAUACAACCUGCCAUCCUUUAUUUGCAGCAAGACUAAAGACAAAAUCAAUUACAAUAAGACUAGAGGCUACAGGAAGAUGAAUUUUUUCAGCACUUCAAGAUCUUCCAUCACCAUCAACCUGCCAUCCUUUAUUUGCAGCAAGACUAAAGACAAAAUCAAUUGCAAUAAGACUAGAGGCUACAGCAAGAUGAAUUUUUUCAGCUCUUCAAGAUCUUCCAUCACCAUCAACCUGCCAUCCUUUAUUUGCUGCAAGACUAAAGACAAAAUCAAUUGCAAUAAGACUAGAGGCUACAACAAGAUGAAUUUUUUCAGCUCUUCAAGAUCUUCCAUCACCAUCAACCUGCCAUCCUUUCUCCAAGUAGCAAACUAGCAACCCAUAUUUCCUGUCAAAAAAUAUGUCUGUCAGUCCAUUUGCAUCAUAAGAAUCCAUUUUACAGGAUAACUUAGGACUUUACAAGAAACAUUGGAAGUCAAACAAGUAGCAAAGUAGAAACAUUCAGCUUUUCUUCAGAACAG